GUCUGCUCCUCGCGUGCGACGUGCGUCCUAGGACCGCCCAAUUCCCGAGCCCGCACCCCUCCUUCCUCCUCUCUCCCUUGUCAGCCGCCACAGCAAGAACCGUAGCCCCCUUCCAUAGAUCCCCAUUGCCGCCGCCCCUCCCGCAUCUGUUCUCUCCUUCCUCUCUCCGUUGUAAGCCGCCGCUACAACUCCUCCCUUCCCCGUCUUUGUCCGUGCAGCCGACCAACUUAGCUCCGCCCGAAGAUCGCUGCCUCCCCAGUUCAUCAUCCCUCCCUUGCUGCUCUGCUUUCACCAGGGAUGGACGAAUCCAUGCACCCCCUCGCCUAGAACCGCUAGGUGAAGAACAUGGACGAGCGUGAGGGUCGGAGGCAGCCACCAGGCGACGGAUCUGGCGCGGGGUUACGGGUUUCAAGACCCUCGUGGUUGACAUCCUCUUCGCUUCUUCCUCGUGCUGCUGCAUCCCCUCGGUUCUUCCCCUGUAUAAUGUGAUGCAGAUUACUUGUGAUUUUCGGCAUAAUCAACUUGUCAAGGAGUGGUGUCAAUGGAAGCCGUGACAGUCAUUCUGGUGACAUAUGCACAUCAGGUUCUAGAAUUAAGUUGUCCUACUAGGAAAUUUUCUACAAAAGGUUUGCAUGUUCAGUCAAUGGGAAAUUGGUAGCAACUUUCCUGCACUUUUUGGAUGCAUAGCUUUGAUAGUUUUGCUUGCGGUGCCUAAAUUACAGCCUGCCAAUGGCGUGGAGUUUAGGUAGCUAGCCCAUGCAUUGGGAAGAGUUUGGGCGGGUCGCGGUUGAUAUCGGACCUGUAAAUGAAGAAAUUUUCAUUGCAAUGGGCAUAAUUAAUGUUGUGGUGGGGCUUAGUUGCACGCUCGUUGGUCUGCCCAGGGCGAAGGAGUUCACCGUGGUGGACACGCCACUCCUGGAGCGGCUCUUCUUGUUCCUGCCGCCUAAUGGUGUGGUGGGGCUUAGGAUCGCUUGUGCUCCCAACCUGCGGGUGCUCGCCUACUAGACACAAGAGCUUGCAUGCUACAGAUUGGUGUCAGCAUCAUUGGGGCACAUCUCUUCGGUCUACAUCUCUCUUGCAACUUGAAAUUAUUCCAUUGACAUUGAUCCAACCACCAUGUUCUUCUUUGUGAUUAGAAAACUAUCAAUGACUUGUGAUAAUAAUGUUGCUUUAGCUGUAUCUCAUUGCAGUCUCUAAAAAUUAUUCCAGUAAUCCCUCUUCUUCUCUUCUCUUCCAGUAACUAUCAAUACCUAGUGGUGAGUUCAGCGGUUGCCGCCUCCUCUUCUCUUCGAAUCCAGUAAUCCCUCUCGUGAGUGCAUCAGGGGAUGUCGUGCCCUCGACUACGGUGAAGCACCAGGUCCACUUGAGCUCCUCCUUCAACCUGCGUGUGUGAUUUCUUCUUUUUCCAUGAAUGCACACAUUUGAAGCUUUUUUUGGUUCCCUCAUCUAGAUUUCUUCUGAAGUGUGCAGAUUGUUAUUCCAUAUCAGGGAGGAGAAUAUUCGUUUUAGGACUCAUUAGGCCCAUAAUAUUUAGCUUGUAAUUUCUAUGAUUCAUCCAUAUGUCUAAUUCUAACCUUACAGAUCAACCUAUCUCUCCACCCUUCUAAAUCUGGCGCUGCUACAUUUCAAAAUCUCGUAUGUAUGAGAUUUAUUCUUUUAGGUUUCUUUCCUGGCAGCGAAUUUAUGAUUCAGACCAUUCCAUAACAAAAUGCAUAUAUGGCCUCACAGUCGGAGUUUAGCUUCAGACUGUCAUCAAGUUUGUGUCAAAUUUAUUGUUCCAUUUUUGGAACAGUGUACUUUCAUGAGUAUUUUUCUAACGAGUACAUAUAAUACUUUCACAGAUCAUCUUACAAAAUGUAAGUAUAGAGGAAUUAAUAUAUAGAGGUUAUGACCAUCAUGUAGAGUGAUCUCUGAAGAUGGAUUGCAGAUAAGUAGAUUAACAAUUUAGUACUGACCCUAUUUCUGUUGAUACUUUAUUUUACUAGAUCUUUCGUAUUAACCAUAAGCAUAAAGGAUAUCAUGUUGGGUUGCAUUGCCAUGUAAGGAAUGGAUAUCCUAAACCUGAGAAAGUACCAACGCAGAUUAUAGUUUCUUAGGAAUAUCAUCGUGUAGUUACAGCAAAGAUGGCAAGCUGUAGCACCUUCUAUAGUUCAGUUUACUAUUAGGGAUAUCAUUCAAUCUUUGAACUAUGUAUUACUGUUAUAAAUUUGGCUAGGGAAUCUGUCUCAUUUUAAUAUUUCAAUGAAGUGGUUGGGAUGGAGAGGGUUUUUUACUUGACUACUUUCUGACUAUAUACCUUUCUGUUUUGUGCAAGUACAAAGUAUUAGUAAUUUUGGUCUGUCCAAUUUUUGCAGGGAUAAUUGUGUGAGUCUGGUCCAAACUUUAAGACAAUCACUUAAUACAUUUAUGGGAUCACCAACUUCUGGCGUUUGUUGAGACUAGCUAGGUGGGACCAUGAAUUCCAAGAAGAUUGUGGUAAUUAUCCUACUUUGUUUGCAAGAUUGGUUUCUAAAAAUAUCAUGGUAGUUAUAAUUUCAGAUUGCUGCUGAUUUGACUGAAUAUGUUUUGAUGGUUUUUAAGCUUUCAUUCUUUACUGUGUGUAAAAGUAACUAAUUCAUUCCUAAUUGAAUCUUUCAAUGGUUGAUGGGAACACUACAGAUCUUGCUUCUCUGCUUUUUAAUGUUUCAUAUGUUUUCAUGUACAAACCGAGGCGUGCGGGCACCAUGUGUUUCUAUCCCAGGUGCUAAAAUCUUAUGUGCCAAGGGCAUUGUGAUGGCGCGAUGCAUAUCUCAUGCAAGUGCUAGACAUCCCAUAGCCCCAAAGAGGAGGGCUCCAAGGUUGGACAGCAAGCUUCACUGGAUGAAAGCAUUUCCCUUCUAAAACAGAGUGUUGCUGACAUGAAUGCACAAGUUAGUCUUGAUACUAAGAUGGUCAUGGAAUUGCUUGAUCUAUGCUAGGUCAACAUGUUAGCCAACCACUUAAAAAUAAUCAAUUGCAUUUCUUCCUCUGAAAUGUGAAACCUGAUGAGUGAUGACGCAUCAGCAAUUUAGCAAUAGAAGAUGUCAGUGAACACGAGUGCCCAGUCAAAAGCAAUGAAACGCUAGAUACUUUAGAGUGUAAUUUUAUAUAAGAAUAAAUAAAUGACACUCAAGUAAUUAAGCAAUUGUUGUUGAGGUAUUGUCUCACCCUUUAUCUGCUCUCUUUUAAACUGUGGAAUGCUAUGGGUUGGAGCUACAGGGGAGGAGGGAGGUAAGCGUGGAUGCAAAGAAUAUUACUUACUUACGAAGCCUUUGAUCCCAAACAAGUUGGGGUAGGCUAGAUAUGAAACCCUUUCACGAGGACUUCCCAGGAGGUCACCCAUCCUAGUACUACUCUCGCCCAAAUGGGUUUCAUACCCAAAAGACUGGCUAGUUUUUACG